UCCCUGAUGGCUCAGAUGGUAAAGCGUCUGUCUACAAUGCAGGAGACCUGGGUUCAAUCCUGGGUUGGGAA
rnacentral:tRNA from 1 species